rnacentral:rRNA from 1 species
UACGAAGGGUGCGAGCGUUAAUCGGAAUUACUGGGCGUAAAGGGUGCGUAGGCGGUUCGUUAAGUCUGUCGUGAAAUCCCCGGGCUCAACCUGGGAAUGGCGAUGGAUACUGGGCAGCUAGAGUGUGUCAGAGGAUGGUGGAAUUCCCGGUGUAGCGGUGAAAUGCGUAGAGAUCGGGAGGAACAUCAGUGGCGAAGGCGGCCAUCUGGGACAACACUGACGCUGAAGCACGAAAGCGUGGGGAGCAAACAGG